rnacentral:rRNA from 1 species
UGUUUUCGCUGACGAGUGGCGGACGGUUAAAAUAAUGUCUGGGAAACUGCCUGAUGGAGGGGGAUAACUACUGGAAACGGUAGCUAAUACCGCAUAACGUCGCAAGACCAAAGAGGGGGACCUUCGGGCCUCUUGCCAUCGGAUGUGCCCAGAUGGGAUUAGCUUGUUGGUGGGGUAACGGCUCACCUAGGCGACUAUCCCUAGCUGGUCUGAGAGGAUGACCAGCCACACUGGAACUGAGACACGGUCCAGACUCCUACGGGAGGCAGCAGUGGGGAAUAUUGCACAAUGGGCGCAAGCCUGAUGCAGCCAUGCCGCGUGUAUGAAGAAGGCCUUCGGGUUGUAAAG